AGUGAACGCUGGCGGUAGGCCUAACACAUGCAAGUCGAACGGCAGCACAGUAAGAGCUUGCUCUUACGGGUGGCGAGUGGCGGACGGGUGAGGAAUACAUCGGAAUCUACUUUUUCGUGGGGGAUAACGUAGGGAAACUUACGCUAAUACCGCAUACGACCUACGGGUGAAAGCAGGGGAUCUUCGGACCUUGCGCGAUUGAAUGAGCCGAUGUCGGAUUAGCUAGUUGGCGGGGUAAAGGCCCACCAAGGCGACGAUCCGUAGCUGGUCUGAGAGGAUGAUCAGCCACACUGGAACUGAGACACGGUCCAGACUCCUACGGGAGGCAGCAGUGGGGAAUAUUGGACAAUGGGCACAAGCCUGAUCCAGCCAUACCGCGUGGGUGAAGAAGGCCUUCGGGUUGUAAAGCCCUUUUGUUGGGAAAGAAAAGCAGCAGGUUAAUACCCCGCUGUUCUGACGGUGCCCAAAGAAUAAGCACCGGCUAACUUCGUG
rnacentral:rRNA from 1 species